rnacentral:rRNA from 1 species
AAGCGUUGUUCGGAAUUAUUGGGCGUAAAGAGCGUGUAGGCGGUUUGUUAAGUCUGAUGUGAAAGCCCUGGGCUCAACCCAGGAAGUGCAUUGGAAACUGGCAGACUUGAAUACGGGAGAGGGCAGUGGAAUUCCUAGUGUAGGAGUGAAAUCCGUAGAUAUUAGGAGGAACACCGGUGGCGAAGGCGGCUGCCUGGACCGAUAUUGACGCUGAGACGCGAAAGCGUGGGUAGCAAACAGGAUUAGAUACCCUGGUAGUCCACGCCGUAAACGAUGAGAACUAGGUGUUGCGGGUAUUGACCCCUGCAGUGCC